AUUGAACGCUGGCGGUAUGCUUAACACAUGCAAGUCGAACGGUAGCAGGCCCUUCGGGGCGCUGACGAGUGGCGGACGGGUGAGUAAUGCGUAGGAAUCUACCUAUUGGAGUGGGAUAACCUAGGGAAACUUAGGGUAAUACCGCAUAAGCUCUAAGGAGUAAAGCAGGGGACUGUUACAGGCCUUGCGCUGAUAGAUGAGCCUACGUCGGAUUAGCUAGUUGGUAGGGUAAAGGCCUACCAAGGCGACGAUCCGUAGCGGGUCUGAGAGGACGACCAGCCACACUGAGACUGAGACCCGGGCCAGACUCCUACGGGAGGCAGCAGUGGGGAAUAUUGGACAAUGGGGGCAACCCUGAUCCAGCAAUGCCGGGUGUGUGAAGAAGGCCUGCGGGUUGUAAAGCACUUUCGGUGGGGAGGAAAUGCUUGGUGCUAAUAUCGCCAAGAGCUGACGUUACCCACAGAAGAAGCACCGGCUAAGUCUGUGCCAGCCGCCGCCGUAA
rnacentral:rRNA from 1 species